rnacentral:rRNA from 1 species
GGUAUCAUAGAGGGUGAGAAUCCCGUGCAUGAUCAGACCAAAAUACCUAAUAUUCGUUUUCUAAGAGUCGAGUUGUUUGGGAAUGCAGCUCAAAAUGGGUGGUAGACUUCACCUAAGGCUAAAUAUCAGCGAGAGACCGAUAGCGAACAAGUACUGUGAAGGAAAGAUGAAAAGAACUUUGAAAAGAGAGUUAAAUAGUACGUGAAAUUGUUGAAAGGGAAACGAUUGAAGUCAGUCAUGCUAGUGAAAAAUCAGUUUGACGGGUUUUGAGUUCGGGAGUAGAGGCAUGGGUCAAACCAUUUCUCUUUUGACUUAGGAUUUGUCAGAUGACUUUUUCUUUGGCAGGUUAGCGUCGAUUU